rnacentral:rRNA from 1 species
GUUUGAUCAUGGCUCAGGAUGAACGCUAGCUACAGGCUUAACACAUGCAAGUCGAGGGGCAUCAGGAAGAAAGCUUGCUUUCUUUGCUGGCGACCGGCGCACGGGUGAGUAACACGUAUCCAACCUGCCCUUUACUCGGGGAUAGCCUUUCGAAAGAAAGAUUAAUACCCGAUAGCAUAAUGAUUCCGCAUGGUUUCAUUAUUAAAGGAUUCCGGUAAAGGAUGGGGAUGCGUUCCAUUAGGUUGUUGGUGAGGUAACGGCUCACCAAGCCUUCGAUGGAUAGGGGUUCUGAGAGGAAGGUCCCCCACAUUGGAACUGAGACACGGUCCAAACUCCUACGGGAGGCAGCAGUGAGGAAUAUUGGUCAAUGGGCGUUAGCCUGAACCAGCCAAGUAGCGUGAAGGAUGAAGGCUCUAUGGGUCGUAAACUUCUUUUAUAUAAGAAUAAAGUGCAGUAUGUAUACUGUUUUGUAUGUAUUAUAUGAAUAAGGAUCGGCUAACUCCGUGCCAGCAGCCGCGGUAAUACGGAGGAUCCGAGCGUUAUCCGGAUUUAUUGGGUUUAAAGGGAGCGUAGGUGGGCUGGUAAGUCAGUUGUGAAAGUUUGCGGCUCAACCGUAAAAUUGCAGUUGAUACUGUCAGUCUGAGUACAGU